UUCUCUGAUGUUUGUGCCGUGUAUUGGAGACGAAAUAGGGUCAUAGAACGAUAGAAAUGACACUGAAAGAUGUAAAAAAUGGGAAGGUAAACGUUUGAGAGCUAUUUCGUGGAAGUUGGCGAAGUUAUUCCCUUAUGAUAACGUGACUGGCCUUCCUCCCUCGCGGUGAAUUCGCUCCGGCUAGACGCCAUUAAGAGUCAUGUCUAUUUUAUGUGAUUUCGUGGGAUUUAGCCGCUGUAAAGACACGCCAUGGAGAUCAAAGAGAAGUACACCCGAUGGCAGGCCGGACCCUAUCUCUCCUUCGGGGGCCAAGUUGUGAUUUGCUUGGCAGGAGCCGUGGUGCGGAACACUGGAGGCUGAGUGUGACGCUCCUUGUUGGCCGCUAUGAUGAUGAUGUGGUUUGGCUACUACCAGCUGAGAGGCCACAGCAUGCUGUCCUGAAGACCGGCCAGCAACCCGGACUCUAGAGCAGUGGUUUGCAUUGAGACAAGAGGAGGAAGAGGAAGAAGAAGAAGAAGAGGAAGAUGACUUUGAAGACCAGCAGACAGACAGAGAAAAAGACAUUGAAUUGAAUGGCUGGCGUCUCGGUCUGCCUGCCUGCGGGACACCCCACACUCUGGAAGAAGAAAGAACAAGAUGUCAAGUUCCUGCAUAAUCAGCCUCUUAGUGAAGGAAAUGUGCUCUAUUUAUUUAAUAAAUGAUUGACAAAAAAAUA